GACGAACGCUGGCGGCGUGCUUAACACAUGCAAGUCGAACGAUGAAGCCUAGCUUGCUAGGUGGAUUAGUGGCGAACGGGUGAGUAAUACGUGAGUGACCUACCUUUGACUCUGGGAUAAGCCUGGGAAACUGGGUCUAAUACCGGAUACGACCAAUCUCCGCAUGGGGUGUUGGUGGAAAGCGUUAUGGAGUGGUUUUAGAUGGGCUCACGGCCUAUCAGCUUGUUGGUGAGGUAAUGGCUUACCAAGGCGACGACGGGUAGCCGGCCUGAGAGGGUGACCGGCCACACUGGGACUGAGACACGGCCCAGACUCCUACGGGAGGCAGCAGUGGGGAAUAUUGCACAAUGGGCGCAAGCCUGAUGCAGCGACGCCGCGUGAGGGAUGACGGCCUUCGGGUUGUAAACCUCUGUUAGCAUC
rnacentral:rRNA from 1 species